rnacentral:rRNA from 1 species
GAGGGGUCCUAGCGUUGUUCGGAAUCAUUGGGCGUAAAGAGUCUGUAGGCGGCCAUGUAAGUCAGGUGUGAAAGCCCCGGGCUCAACCCGGGAAGUGCAUUUGAUACUGCAUGGCUUGAAUGUUGGAGAGGGUAGUAGAAUUCCAGGUGUAGUGGUGAAAUACGUAGAUAUCUGGAGGAAUACCGGUGGCGAAGGCGGCUACCUGGCCAAACAUUGACGCUGAGAGACGAAAGCGUGGGGAGCAAACAGGAUUAGAUACCCUGGUAGUCCACGCCGUAAACGAUGGGCACUUGGUGUUGGAGGUAUUGACCCCUUCAGUGCCGAAGCUAACGCGAUAAGUGCCCCGCCUGGGGAGUACGGCCGCAAGGUUA